GGGCACUGCUGAAUUUGAAUUGAGGGGCGAGGGAAAAGUUUUCCUCAGGUGUGGUGGGGAGAGGGAGGCGGAUGCCGGGAAACCGUAGGGACGCGGUCAGAAAGGCGACGGGCUGUCGGAGUUGGAAAGGGACGCCUGGUUUCCCCCCAAGCGAACCGGGAUGGGAAGUGACUUCAAUGAGAUUGAACUUCAGCUGGAUUGAAAGAGAGGCUAGAAGUUCCGCUUGCCAGCAGCCUCCUUAGUAGAGCGGAAUGAGUAAUACCCACACGGUGCUUGUCUCACUUCCCCAUCCGCACCCGGCCCUCACCUGCUGUCACCUCGGCCUCCCACACCCGGUCCGCGCUCCCCGCCCUCUUCCUCGCGUAGAACCGUGGGAUCCUAGGUGGCAGGACUCAGAGCUAAGGUAUCCACAGGCCAUGAAUUCCUUCCUAAAUGAGCGGUCAUCGCCGUGCAGGACCUUAAGGCAAGAAGCAUCGGCUGACAGAUGUGAUCUCUGAACCUGAUAGAUUGCUGAUUUUAUCUUAUUUUAUCCUUGACUUGGUACAAGUUUUGGGAUUUCUGAAAAGACCAUACAGAUAACCACAAAUAUCAAGAAAGUCGUCUUCAGUAUUAAGUAGAAUUUAGAUUUAGGUUUCCUUCCUGCUUCCCACCUCCUUCGAAUAAGGAAACGUCUUUGGGACCAACUUUAUGGAAUAAAUAAGCUGAGCUGUAUUUCAAGUAAUAUAGUUAUAAAUUAACAAUGUAGCAGUUAUUGAUAGAGAAAUUGAGAAAACUGAAACGUGACCGGAGUAUUGGAAAUAACGUAGUACAUCACCUAGCACAAUGACACAUAGUAGGUGCUCAAUAAAUUUAUGCUUAUAAUUUUUGUCACUUCUAUGGCAGGAUUUUUUUAUUAGGUUAAAAUUAUCUUUUAAACACCUUCCGGAAUUUUAGAAUAUUCAUUAAUAAUGUCUUCAAACCUUUCAACUGAAAUAAAUUUACAGCUGAAGUCUGAUGAUUUAAAGUUAGAAA
rnacentral:lncRNA from 1 species